GCAUAUCAAUAAGCGGAGGAAAAGAAACUAACAAGGAUUCCCCUAGUAACUGCGAAGUGAAGCGGGAAAAGCUCAAAUUUAAAAUCUGGCGGUCUUUGGCCGUCCGAGUUGUAAUCUAGAGAAGUGUUAUCCGCGCUGGACCGUGUACAAGUCUCCUGGAAUGGAGCGUCAUAGAGGGUGAGAAUCCCGUCUUUGACACGGACUGCCAGGGCUUUGUGAUGCGCUCUCAAAGAGUCGAGUUGUUUGGGAAUGCAGCUCAAAAUGGGUGGUAAAUUCCAUCUAAAGCUAAAUAUUGGCGAGAGACCGAUAGCGAACAAGUACCGUGAGGGAAAGAUGAAAAGAACUUUGGAAAGAGAGUUAAACAGUACGUGAAAUUGCUGAAAGGGAAACGCUUGAAGUCAGUCGCAUUGUCUGGGAAUCAACCUUGCUUUUGCUGGGCGUACUUUCCAGAUGAUGGGUCAGCAUCAAUUUUGACCGUUGGAUAAAGUUCAAAGGAAUGUGGCAUCUUCGGGUGUGUUAUAGCCUUUGUUCGCAUACAACGGUUGGGAUUGAGGAACUCAGCACGCCGAAAGGCCGGGUACUUGUACCACGUUCGUGCUUAGGAUGCUGGCAUAAUGGCUUUAAUCGACCCGUCUUGAAAACACGGACCAAGGAGUCUAACAUGCCUGCGAGUAUUUGGGUGGAAAACCCGAGUGCGUAAUGAAAGUGAAAGUUGAGAUCCUUGUCAUGGGGAGCAUCGACGCCCGGACCAGACCUUUUGUGACGGUUCUGCGGUAGAGCAUGUAUGUUGGGACCCGAAAGAUGGUGAACUAUGCCUGAAUAGGGUGAAGCCAGAGGAAACUUCUGGUGGAGGCUCGUAGCGAUUUCUGACGUGCAAAUCGAUCGUCAAAUUUGGGUAUAGGGGCGAAAAGACUAAUCGAACCAUCUAGUAGCUGGGUUCCUGCCGA
rnacentral:rRNA from 1 species